GUGCUCGCUUGGGCAGCGCGUGUGCUAAAAUUGGAACGAGGCAGAGGUCAGCGUGGCCCCUGCGCAAGGAUGACACGCAAAUUCCUGAAGUGUUCCAUUGUAAU